UCGAUUCCCUCGGCUUGCCCUGCCGCCCCGCUGCCAAGCACAUCCCGGUCCCGGUGCCGGUCCCUGGUCCCGGUCCCGGUCCCGGUGCCGGUCCCUGGUCCCGGCCGGGGGAUGUAGGAGGACGCGCGGCCCAAGGUACCCGGGCAGCGCCGCCGCCUGUCGCCUGCAAGGGCCGGCGCAGCGGCCGCCGCGGCCGUGUGGCUGUAGGCGUUCCUCGGGGAGACCGGGAAGGGGCACGGCUGCUGUCCGCCUGCCCCCCCGCCGCGGUCCCGCCCGUGCCUGUGCCGUGUGCCUGACCGUCCCGCGGGCCAUGGAGCGGGCGUUCACGCCGCUGGAAUGCCUCCUGCCCGCCGGAAAUCUGAAGUUUUGCCUUCUGAUUCUGAACCAGCCUUUCAACAAAGGUCAUUUCCAUUGUCUGUGGAGCAGAGCUGCCCUGAGAGCUUGUGCUGAUGGAGGUGCCAAUUGUCUCUACCACAUCACAGAAGGGAGCCAGGAAAGCUUCUUGCCUGAUUACAUCAGUGGUGAUUUUGAUUCCAUUCAGCCUGAAGUCAAGGAGUACUACAAGGUCAAGGGAUGUGAGUUAAUUGAGACCAUGGAUCAGGACCUCACAGAUUUCACCAAGUGCCUUCAAAUACUCCAGAAAAAGAUAGAGAAGAAGGGCCUCCAGGUUGAUGUGAUUGUGGCUCUGGGUGGACUUGGAGGACGCUUUGACCAAACAAUGGCAUCGGUGGAAACGCUUUUUCAUGCAACAAAUAUCACUCCUUCUCCAGUGAUAGUUAUCCAGGAGUGCUCGCUGAUUUACCUGCUUCAACCUGGCAAGCACAAGCUGCAUGUGGACACAGGACUGGAGGGCUCCUGGUGUGGCCUCAUCCCCAUUGGGAACCCCUGCGAGAGUGUGACCACGACAGGCCUUAAGUGGAACCUCAAAAGUUUAUUUGCCAAAGCUGAGCCCCCGAGGGUGAAUGCCUCAUCACAGAAUCAUAGACUCCUUCAGGCAGGAAAAGAGGCCCAAGAUCAUCAAAUCCAGCCUUUGACUGAAUACCACUGUGUCAACUGAACUGUAUCAGAAAGGGCCGCAAACCUGCUAAUUUUUUAAAUACUUCCAGAGAUGGUGAUUCUACCACAAGUCCCAGUUCUCCCCAAGAUGUAGCUCAGUUCUGCCUGGCAAGUGAGAAGAUGGCUGAAAAUGGAGUCCAUUAACCCAAGCAGAGCCAAACCUCCAUGAGCUAUAGAUUGAGGGUAGGAGAGAAAAGAAGAUGGGAAGCAUAAGACCAACUCAGGUUUUGAUCAACACAAAAUGUUCACAUACCAGGUUGAGUUAGCUUAAGUCAUUCUCUCUAAAAUCACAUCAUUUAUACCGGACUGCUUUGAUUGAGCUCCUGCCUACACAUAGGAGACAUGCCCCAGCUAACCAGGUGCUAAAGUUUGGAACACUCGUCAGUACUUCCAACACCUAUGACAACUCUGGGAUUGUGACUAUCGAGACAGACAAACCUUUGCUGUGGACAAUGGCUAUCAAGACAUAAGAUCAGCGACAGCUGCC